GGGGAUGAUCGGUUUCGACAAUAGGAAUCAUCUUAUAUAUGCAUGUAAAGUAAGACUAAGUGCAAACAAAGUCGCAAAAGUAAAGUCUCCAUACUUCGGUAUGAACAGCUUUGCUUUCGCUUUCGCCUAAUUUAGGCCCGAGCGAUGUCUAUCCUCUCUACAUCCGAUACAGAGGCUGGGCAUAAUUCAUCGGAUUACGAAUUUACAAAUGCUUGAUGUAAAUUUCGACAAUUUAAAGAUCGGUGUUUAUUUUUCUUGUAUAUCCUCUAGAAUAAACAUUUAAAACCAAUUGGACAUACUAAACAUGUAGACUUAUCUAAGAUUUCCCCUUGCACGUGGGUUCAACUCCCACCAUCUCCACAC
rnacentral:tmRNA from 1 species